GCUGCUCUAUAAAUGAAUACAAGUCACUGUACUUACUUUCAUAAAGCACCUUUCUACAAAGAAAUGUAAAUUAACCAAAACCAUUCACAAUCACAUUGCUUUUGGUGCCUCACUGUUUCCUAAGUAUAUUAGUGCGUGUGUGAAUGUAUAAAUGAGAGGAAUUAACUGCGAUUUCUUUGUAGAAAGGUGCUUUAUGAAAGUAAGUACAUUGACUUGUAUUAAUUUACAGCGCAGCCUUGACCCAUCCAAUACGGCGGCGACGUUGACGUACAGCCCAUCACUCGAUGCGGCCAGCUUGUUUGCCACACAUACACACACACACACACACACUACUGAUGGAAAUCUUAGGACCAGUUGAAAAAUGUCUAGAAUGAUCAUUUUGCACAUUUGGAUCUUAAUGAGGUUUUAAGUAGAGCUACAAUAUGCAAAAACAAGAAGGGGGGGUGACACAAAAAGCAUUUUGAAAAAGUGAUUUAUUGAAAACAACAAUUAAACUGAAAUAGGCUGUUUAUCAGGGGAUCAAAAGUUUAAGACCACAGGCUAUAAAAGCCCAAAUGUGCUCCAAAUGUUGAUGUCGUGUCAUCAUUCCCACUGUCAUGCCCUCCUGAUGCUAAAGCUAAGAAGCUUUCUCUUUUUCAACGUGGUGGGAUUGUGGAGCUGCAUAAGCAAGGCCUCUCGCAGCGUGCCAUGGCUGCUGAGGUUGGGCGCAGGAAAUCAGUCAUUCUAAGUUUUUAGAAAGAUCCUGAGCAUUUUGGAGGAAAAAAGUCAAGUGGUAGACCCAAAAACAUCACACCUGCGCUGAGUCGGAGGAUCCGAUCGGCUGUCCAUCAAGACACAGGGCGGUCUUCCACCCACAUGAAGGCCUUACUGGUGCCGACUGCAGCAAUAACCAUCAGACGCCAUCUGCUGGAAAAGGCUUCAAAAGCAAAAAGGAAUUCAAAGACCUCGUUUCCUUCAACGCCACAAAAGUGCCCGUUUAGACUUUGCUAGGGAGCAUCAAACAUGGGACAUUGAAAGGUGGAACAAAGUUUUAUUCUCUGAUGAGAACAAAUGUAACCUUGACGGUCCAGAUGGCUUCCAACGUUACUGGCAUGACAAGGAGAUCCCACCUGAGAUGUUUUCUACCUGGCACAGCGGAGGGGGGUCCAUCAUGGUCUGGGGUGCUUUUUCAUUCAGUGGAACACCGGAGCUUCAGGUGGUGCGGGGUCGUCAAACGGAUGCAGAUGUUGGGGCGGGCGUCCCUCAUGACCGAGGGCCCUGGUCUGUGUGGUAACAGCUGGGUUCUUCAACAGGACAACGCUGCAGUUCACAAUGCUGGCUUGACCAAGGACUUCUUCAGGGAGAAUAACAUCUCUCUUUUGGACCAUCCUGAUUUCAAUCCCACAGAGAACAUUUGGGAUGGAUGGCAAGGGAAGUUUCUAAAAAUGGCCAUCAGUUCCAGACAGUUGAUGCCCUUGGUGAAGCCAUCUUCACCACUUGGAGAUGUUCCCACUAGCCUCCUGGAAACACUGGCAUCAAGCAUGCCCAAAGCCAUUUUGGAAGUGAUGAACAAGAACAGUGGAGCUCCUCAUUACUGAGUCCUACUGAGAACAUUUUUGGUUCUUUUUUGAGCGAUGGUCUUAAACGUUUGAUCACGUGAUAAACAGCCUAUUUCAGUUGAAUUUUUGUUUUCAAUCAAUGACUUUUUGUCCCACCCCUGUUCUUGUUUUUGCAUAUUGUAGCUCUACUUAAAACCUCAUUAAGAUCCAAAUGUGCAAAAUGAUCACUCCAGACAUUUUUCAACUGCUCUUAAGAUUUUAUGUGUGUGUGUCUGUGUAUGUAUGUAUAUGUGUGUGUGUGUGUGUGUGUGUGUGCGUGCGUGUGUGUGUGUAUAUGUGUGUGUGUGUAUAUAUAUAUAAUUUAUUUAUUUAUUUAUUUAAUAUACUGUGUAUAUAGAGAUACUGUAUAUAUAUAUAUAUAUAUAUAUAUAUAUAUAUAUAUAUAUAUAUAUACAGACACUUUCCAAAAAUUUUGAAUAUAAUGUAAAAGUUGUUUAAUUUCCAUAAUUCCAUUCAAAAAGUUAAACUUUCAUAGAUUAUAGAUUCAGGGCCCACAAUUUAAAACGAUUUAAAGUACAGUCAAACCUGUCUUAGCGGCCACCUUUAUAGAACGGCCACCUGCCUAUAGCAGCCAUUUAAAAAUCCCCCCCAGCAAAUGUACAUGUUAUAGACCCUGUGUAUAGCAGUCACCUGUCCAACGCGGCCAGCGGCCACCCAUUUUGUCUCCCUUGGUCAAUAUCUGACCGCAUAUAGCGGCCAAAUUACCAACUCAAGUAGAAGCUUCAUGCACGAAAAAGUUUUGUUUUUCAAUCAAUGAAGCCGUCGUGUGUAGACUUUAAUUACUGAGUCCUAGCUCAGUCACAAUCAUUCACAUGAUCCACACAAACUGUCAGUUGUUCCACAUAAAAAAGCCGUCUUCUUUUGAGCUUGCUAUUUCCUGGUCAAACAUGUAACUUUAAGAGCAUUUGCACCAAAACAUUACCGCAAAGUAUGCUGGGAACAGGACGUGCUCCCAGCGAUGCUACAAUACAAUACAAUACUGCCUGCGGGCUAAAACCAUGCUAGCAUAUGUUUUUAAAAAGCAGCGGGAGCAAAACUGAGUUUGGUUGUACUUAAUUGAAGUAUUUUAGAAUGUACUCACGUUAUUUGUCAUCAAUCCUCAUCCACAAAUCCAUCAAAGUCCUCAUCUUCUGUAUUCGACACAAACAAAGCCGUCUUCUUUUCCGUUCACUACUAGUCUGUUAACUUGUCAGUGUUAUUCAACUCCGAAGCUAAGAAGGAAACUUCUCCUGUUGCUUCUGCAAACGUUAUUUCUUGAACGAGGCCACCAGACAGCAGCUCAGAACACACACACAUCUCUCAGCAUCGUCUCUCCUUCCUGCUUGCCCACAAGGCAAAGGUUAAACAAGCCCCACUACAUAGCUGUCCAGCCAAUGCCUGUAAGAAAUGACACUGUUUAUUUCCUGGUGUGCACUGGUCAAUACUGUAAUGCCGCUUGUUGUGGGGAAGGAGAGACUCACGUCGCCGAUGCACUUUAAUGGCUUUAUUAACAACGGAGAACACUGCAGGACUUUACAUCCACGCCAACAUAAACACACUUCCCAACUCUCUCCAAACUCACAGCUAGCACUGAGCCUAGCUCUCCUGCUCGGGACGCCCACCGUCACUUCCUGAUGAACUAAAGCUGUAAUGACACUCUGCCGUAUAAAAAGUAAAAUAUUAAAAACAAGCGUAAGACAUUACUAGCACAGCUUUGUUCUGUGGGUGGUGGAUAUAUUCUAUCAGUUAUUAUUAAGCCUCUAGCUUCCUUUUAGUAAGUAAAAACCUUGGCUAUGAUUGCACUACAUGGUCAUGUAGACCUACAAAGUACACUUGGAAGAACAAGAGGUGAAUAAAUGUAUUGCAACUGAUGUGAAACUGAUGAGGAGUAGGAUUAAAUAAGCUUUGCUUCUUCCUACUCCUUUUUGGACAUGCAAAAUUGUGAAUUGUACUAUGUGAUGUGCUACUGUUUGACUCAUGCAUGUUUAGAAUGAAUUAAAACCAUGAACCAUGAUAAUAACAAGCCUAGUAGUGCUGUACAACUUUUAUCCGCAGUCCACAGUGCCCUCUACUGGUCAACAUUAUUAUUCCUUCCCCCGCCCUUUUUUUUUCUUCUUUUUUUUCCCCUCAACUGGUCAACAUUCAAACUGGACGCCAACCUGUCUAUAGAGGCCACUUUUGCAGCCUCCCUCUAGUGGCCGCUAUAGACAAGUUUGACUGUAUUUAUUUGUUUAUUUUUACAUAAUUUGGGCUUCCAGUUCAUUAAACCCACGAAAACAGGAAUUCAAAAAAUUAGAAUACUGUGAAGAAAUCAGCCCAAAUUUUGCAGGGCAUGAAUGUUUUAAAGUGAGUGUCACACACUAAUCAUCUACUAAAGUCAAAUCACCUGCACAGGCUUCCCCAGGUGUCAUUAAAUUGCUUCAGUUUGGUUCAAUUGUCUCAUUUCGGUUCAAUAUGGGGAAGACUGCAGACAUGACAACUGGCCAGAAGACCAUCAUUGAUACCCUCCAUAGGAUGGGUAAGCCACAAAAGUUCCUAGCUAAGGAGGCUGGUUGUUCACAGAGUGCUGUGUCCAAGCAUAUCAAUGGAAAGUCUAGAGGAAGGGCAAAAUGUGGCAGGAGAAGAUGCACCAGCAAAAGAGAUGACCGUGGGCUUCAGCGGAUUAUCAAACAGGGAAGAUUCAAGAAUCUGGCAGAGAUCCAGAAAGAGUGGAAUGAGGCGGGAGUCACAGCUUCAAAAACCACCACAUUCAGACGCAUCCGGGAGAUGGGCUACAACUGUGGGGUUCCUCGGGUCAAGCCACUUCUGAACCUGAGCCAACGUAGGAAGCGUCUCCACUGGGCCAAGGAGAAGAAGGACUGGACUGUUGGCCAGUGGUCCAAGGUCCUCUUUUCCCAUGAAAGUAAAGUGUGCCUUUCAUUUGGGAAUCAAGGUCCAAGGGUUUGGAGGAAGACGGGUGAGGAACAGAACCCAAGCUGCCUGAGGUCCAGUGUGAAAUAUCCACAGUCCGUCAUGAUUUGGGGUGCAAUGUCCGGUGCAGGUGUUGGUAAACUCUGCUUUCUUAAAUCCAAGGUCACCGCAACAGUCUACCAGAAUGUUUUAGAGGACUUCAUGAUUCCUUCUGCUGAGGAUCUGUAUGGAGAUGCAGAUUUCAUCUUCCAGCAGGACCUGGCCCCUGCCCAUACCGCCAGAAGCACCAAAACCUGGUUUGAUGCCCAUGCCAUCACAGUGCUUGACUGGCCAGCCAACUCACCAGACCUAAACCCCAUUGAGAAUCUAUGGGGUAUUCUCAAGAGGAAAAUGAGGGGCACCAGACCCAACAACAAAGAAGAGCUGGCAGCAAGCAUCAAGGAAAUCUGGGCUUCCAUAACUCCCAGGCAAUGCCACAGGCUGAUUGCUUCAAUGCCACGUGGCAUCGAGGCAGUGAUUAAGGCAAAGGGAUUCCCAACCAAGUAUUGAAGAUUGACAUAUCGUUUUGAAAGUACCAUAUUUUGAUUGAUUUGAUGUGAUCCUAAUUUCUUUCUUUUUUUUCCUGCAAAAACAGAGAAGUAAAUGGUGAUUUCUUCACAGUAUUCUAAUUUUUUGAAUUCCUGUUUUCGUGGGUUUUAUGAGCUGGAAGCCCAAAUUAUGUAGCCAAUUACGGGACCCAAGUGGAAGAGUGAGCUUACAGGGAGAAGAGAUCAAGAAGGUGGAGGAUUUGAAGUACUUAGGGUCAACAGUCCAGAGCAAUGGAGAGUGUGGAAAAGAGGUGAAGAAGCGUGUACAGGCAGGAUGGUACGGGUGGAGAAAAGUGUCAGGUGUGAUGUGUGAUAGAAGAGUUUCAGCUAAAAUGAAAGGAAAGGUGUACAAAACUGUGGUGUUGUUUGGUCUAGAGACAGUGUCCAUGAGGAAAAGACAGGAGACAGAGCUGGAGGUAGCAGAGAUGAAGAUGCUGAGGUUCUCUCUGGGAGUGACCAGGAAGGAUAGGAUCAGGAAUGAGUACAUCAGAGGGACAGCACAUGUUAGAGGUUUUGGAGAUAAAGUCAUAGAGGCCAGACUGACAUGGUUUGGACAUGUCCAGAGGAGAGAUAGGGAAUAUAUAGGUAGAUGGAUGCUGAGUUUGGAACUGCCAGGCAGGAGGCCUAGAGGAAGACCAAAGAGGAGGUUUAUGGAUGUAGUGAAAGAGGGCAUGAAGGUAGUUGGUGUGAGAGAAGAGGAUGCAGAAGACAGGGUUAGAUGGAGGCAAUUGAUUCGCUGUGGCGACCCCUGAAGGGAAAAGCCCAAAGGAGAAGAAGAAGAAGAUCUAGAUAGAGAGAGAGAAUGUCAAUGUGUGUGUGUGUGUGUGUUGAGGUACGUGGAUGAUGUCAUCUCUCGGAUUGGAAGGAUGUUUCCUGACAUGACCAUUGAACUCUUCCGACCUAAUGGAACAUCUGCAGUGCUGCUGGUGACCCUGGGCAAGGUGCUGAAGGCGAUCGUGGUGAUGCGUUCACUGUUCAUUGACAGAACUU